UACGUAGGUGGCAAGCGUUGUCCGGAAUUAUUGGGCGUAAAGAGCGUGUAGGCGGUCAGGUAGGUCCGUUGUGAAAACUCGAGGCUCAACCUCGAGACGCCGAUGGAAACCAUCUGACUAGAGUCCGGAAGAGGAGAGUGGAAUUCCUGGUGUAGCGGUGAAAUGCGCAGAUAUCAGGAAGAACACCCGUGGCUAAGGCGCUCUCUAGUACGGUACUGACGCUGAGACGCGAAAAGCGUGGGGAGCGAACAGG
rnacentral:rRNA from 1 species